rnacentral:lncRNA from 1 species
AAUUAAUUUAAUCGAGAAAAUGUGCAUAUUUAAAAUAUGGAUAGAGACGCAUAAAUACAUCUUUAAAAUAAAAAUAUAAUCGUUUAAGUCUUUGUUCCAUUGGCUCGCAGCUGCACUCACAGCACCAGUGAGACCGACACGGUUGUGCCCCAUCCCAUAGGCGCCAAAUGGGGGGCGCAGGGUUUUAGGAGCUCGCGUAGGGCCUCUCGGGCGGCAGAAAUGGAGCCGCGAGGCUGGCGGGGAGACCGAGGACGGGACCCGCUGAGCUCUGGGUGAGCUGGGGGCACUCGAGGGGACCUGGACUGAGCCAGAGGCCUGGCUUGGGGGAGGGCCCCUUCCCGGGUCCCCAAGGCCCCGGUGUGCCGCUGCCGUAGGGAAACGGGAAGGCACGGCCGCGCCAGGCGACCUGAACGAGAGGAAGCCCGGGGUCGCCGCCCGCGGGCGCGGCUGGUGUUCAUACCCAGCCAGGAAGGGCGGGCGGGCCUCGGGUGCCACACGGCGUGCCCGGCGCUUUCCCCGCAGUCCCGCUUGUUGCCCGUCCCUGGACUCCUUAUCAGGUAGCUGGGUGACCUUGCUGCAAGGGCAGGGCCGUGGAACAGGAUUUCUGCCGCACACCAGCCACCUGCAACGGUGGUAAGAGGAUUUGGCAGUGAUCCGGGUACUCUACCUAAUAUUGGGGCUGAAAUAUCAGAAGGAAUGAUAAAAUCCAUUUUUAAGUGAUAGCGUUUAAAGGUGUUGGAUCAGUUUUAAUGAAGAAAAUCAUCUCCAUCCCAGCUGGGCAGAGAUUUGGGAUUGUACCCGUGUUUCUUCCCGCACAUUGUCACCUGUGGCUUGUUCAUCCGUUCAUUUCGCGUGCACUGAGGACCUCUGAGGACCUUGCGCCAGACUCUGGAGCAAGCGCGAAAUGAACAAAAGCCAGCCCUGCCCUUGGGAAAAGUCAAACACACAAUGGCCGCUGAGUGCACGCUCCGAGCACGCGCCAAGCCCUGGAAAGCCCGGUAGAGGGGACCCUCCAACCUCCCGCAGUGAUGCGUGUGGGGCCAGGGGUCUUGCUAGGCUGCACCUUGCACCUGAAUCGCCCGUUGCCUUCACCGUGGAAGCGUUUGCUGUAAAAAUAACAUGGGGGUUGGGGCGGGGGAGACGUCUUUGUAGCUUUCUCACAGGGCUUAAGACAUCUGUCCUGCUAUCUUCCCCGGCCUUCCAGGGAUUCUCAGUGGAUGUUAGCUCUCUGGAUUUCACUGGCAAGGUUAUAGAGACUUACCAUUUUCUGAUAUGAACAUCUGCCAAGUAACGUAUAGAGAACAGGAAAGCAUGCAUAUCCCACAAGGAAAAAAAUAAACCUAAGAAACUGUUCUAUCAAAGAAUUAAGUUAAGCAUGGAGUGUGUCACUGGAUAAAUUAAACAUACAGAAUUUGGAUUGAGGCUAGGAAAAGAUGAAGCAAGAGAAAAGGAGCCCUGGUGACUUGCCCAGGGCAGAGGUUUUUGAAGUGAGCUUCCUCCUCGGAGACCCCUCAGUGCAGGGGGAGUUUGGGAAGAUGGGGGCGCCAGAGCAGGGAGGCUGGGCUCCCUCUCCAGCCUCUUAAGGCACGAGUUAUUUUACAUAUUUAGCUUCUGAAAAUUGUUUUAUUUAAACAAGGGAUUCCGGAGGCUACAAACAAAAGCUUGAAAACACUGACAGAUGAAGUGCAAAAAAUUUGGCUGAUCAUUAUAAAUUUGAUAAAGAUUUCAUGUCCUGAGUCUGAAAGAGAUUCUAAAAUAUAUUACAGAUUUAGUUCUACAGAGAAGGGAUGAACUCUUCCAAGUAAUUUCACAGGUGGAGAUGGUUAAAAGUCCUCAUACUGGGUGGUAAAUAAAAUUGAUUUCUUCCAUAGUUAUGGAAAAGACUUGAUACCUUCUCUUGGAGAAAUAAGGGACUCAUUCAAUUGUAAGUUUUUAUUGUUUAGAACAUAGAAAUUCCUUCUACAACCAGAAAAAAACGCUAUUUUCAUUUGGGGGCAAAGAAUUUUAAAUAAGAUUCUGGAAUUCUGUUAUGUGAUUAUUACAUACUAAUGAGAGUUCAUCUUUUUGGUAAAAUAAACACCCAAGCAUGUUUGUAUGCAAUUAACGUUUGUUUCAAGACUCUGAAGAGCUGGCAACAAUUUGGGCAAGGAAAAUGUGUCUAUUUCUCUCAAUUUGUCUACUGUAUGAAUUAAACACAGCAGAGAUUGGCUUAAA